GUGAAUGCUAGCGGCGUGGAUAAGGCAUGCAAGUCAAGGGGGCCGCAAGGCAACCGGCAGACGAGGUAGUAAGACACAGGUACGCACCGAGAAGUCGGGCAUAGCUCGCCGAAAGGCGGGGUAAUUCCCGAUAGUUCCCGCGAGGGUAAAGGAGCAAUCCGCUUUUUGAGCGGCCUGUGGGGCAUCAGCUAGUUGGUAAGGUAAUGGCUUACCAAGGCUACGACGCCUAGGGGACCUGAGAGGGUGACCCCCACCGAUGGAACUGAGACACGGUCCAUACAUCUACGGAUGGCUGCAGUCAAGAACAUUUGGCAAUGGGCGAAAGCCUGACCAUGCGACGCCGCGUGCUGGACGAAGUCCUUCGGGACGUAAACAGCUUUUAUGGGGGAAGAAGUAAUUGACAUUACCCCAUGAAUAAGGGGCUCCUAACUCUGU
rnacentral:rRNA from 1 species